UACAGGGGGGGCAAGCGUUGUUCGGAAUUACUGGGCGUAAAGGGUCUGUAGGUGGCCAACUAAGUCAGACGUGAAAUCCCUCAGCUUAACUGGGGAGCUGCGUCUGAUACUGGAUGGCUUGAGUGUGGGAGAGGAAUGCGGAAUUCCAGGUGUAGCGGUGAAAUGCGUAGAUAUCUGGAGGAACACCGGUGGCGAAGGCGGCAUUCUGGACCAUAACUGACACUGAGAGACGAAAGCCAGGGGAGCAAACGGG
rnacentral:rRNA from 1 species